CCUACGUGAGGCAGCAGUGAGGAAUAUUGGUCAAUGGGCGCGAGCCUGAACCAGCCAAGUCGCGUGAGGGAGGACGGCCCUACGGGUUGUAAACCUCUUUUGCCGGGGAGCAACGGGCGUCACGUGUGGCGCCACUGAGAGUACCCGGAGAACAAGCAUCGGCUAACUCCGUGCCAGCAGCCGCGGUAAUACGGAGGAUGCGAGCGUUAUCCGUAUUUAUUGGGUUUAAAGGGUGCGUAGGCGGAUCGUUAAGUCAGUGGUCAAAUUGAGGGGCUCAACCCCUUCCCGCCAUUGAAACUGGCGCUCAUGAGUGGAAGAGAAGUAUGCGGAAUGCGUGGUGUAGCGGUGAAAUGCAUAGAUAUCACGCAGAACCCCGAUUGCGAAGGCAGCAUGCCGGCUUCCGACUGACGCUGAAGCACGAAAGCGUGGGGAUCGAACAGGAUUAGAUACCCGAGUAGUC
rnacentral:rRNA from 1 species